CCUACGGGUGGCUGCAGUGGGGAAUAUUGGACAAUGGGCGAAAGCCUGAUCCAGCCAUGCCGCGUGUGUGAAGAAGGCCUUCGGGUUGUAAAGCACUUUCAGUGGGGAAGAAAGCCUUGGGGCUAAUACCCUCGAGGAAGGACAUCACCCACAGAAGAAGCACCGGCUAACUCCGUGCCAGCAGCCGCGGUAAUACGGAGGGUGCGAGCGUUAAUCGGAAUUACUGGGCGUAAAGCGCGCGUAGGCGGUCUGAUAAGCCGGUUGGGAAAGCCCCGGGCUCAACCUGGGAACGGCAUCCGGAACUGUCAGGCUAGAGUGCAGGAGAGGAAGGUAGAAUUCCCGGUGUAGCGGUGAAAUGCGUAGAGAUCGGGAGGAAUACCAGUGGCGAAGGCGGCCUUCUGGACUGACACUGACGCUGAGGUGCGAAAGCGUGGGUAGCAAACAGGAUUAGAUACCCGGGUAGUC
rnacentral:rRNA from 1 species